AAAAAAAAAAAAAAAAAAAAGGAUUAAACCCAUCUAGAGUAUUAGUUAUAUUGUUCAGAUAUUUUUUAGUUUAUUAUCAAUUCAAGUUUUAAGUGGUGCUUAUUCUUAGAAACUUAUUCAAAACAGGGAUUGAACGUAGGCUUUUAUUGGAGUGAAACUUGAUAAUUGAUGUGGCUAUGAAACCUGAAUAGAUCAAAGUUUGCAAACGAUCUUGCAACUGUGUUUUUAUCACAUGGACAUAGAGAGUUUUACUUUCUAACUUUUGUUGGGUCACAAGAUGGCAUUAGAUGUGAUUACCAACAGCGCUUCAUCUCUUCCAGCGUCAGAUUUCCUCACCCAGAUUGUAGAGGACAUGAUUGAGGUCGCAUAUGCUGCCAACAAUGUACUCAUUAAGAAAGAGAGUUUUAAGGAACUUUCCAUCUACCUGGAAAGGUUUGUACCAAUCCUAAAAGAGUUUAACAAGAAAUACAUGGGUCAUUCAGAGAGCUUAAACAAUGCAAUUGAGAUUCUCAAUCGAGAAGUUAAAACUGCAAAGCAGUUAAUUAUGGAGUGUACUGAAAGAAAUAAAGUAUAUCUACUGAUGAAUUGCCGAACUAUAGUUAAGCGUUUAGAAGACACCACUAGGGAAAUUAGCCGGGCUCUAGAUCUUCUACCAUUAGCUUCUUUGGAUCUUUCGUCUGGUAUAAUUGAUGAGAUUGCAAAACUCCGUGAUAGUAUGCAAAGAGCUGAGUUCAAGGCAGCCAUAGCAGAAGAAGAGAUAUUGGAGAAAAUUGAGUCGGGAAUACAAGAGAGGAAUGUUGAUCGUUCUUAUGCCAAUAAUUUACUGGCUCACAUAGCUGAGGUGGUUGGUAUCUCAACUGAGAGGGCUGCAUUGAAGAAAGAAUUUGAAGACUUCAAGAGUGAGAUUGAAAAUGCCCAUCUACUGAAGGACCAAGCUGAAUCGAUACAAAUGGCUCAGAUAAUUGCUUUACUAGAAAGGGCAGAUGCAGCUUCUUCUCCUGAGGAGAAGGAGAUGAAGUAUUUCACCAAACGGAAGUCCUUGGGUAGUCAACCAUUGGAACCUCUCCAAUCAUUUUAUUGCCCGAUCACUCGGGAUGUCAUGGUUGACCCUGUGGAGACGUCUUCAGGACAAACAUUUGAACGAAGUGCAAUAGAAAAAUGGCUUGCAGAUGGGAACAAAUUGUGUCCUCUGACCAUGACUCCUCUGAGCACAUCAAUUCUAAGGCCUAAUAAAACUUUGAGGCAAUCAAUUGAAGAAUGGAAGGAUAGGAACACGAUGAUUACAAUUGCUUCCAUGAAAUCAAAACUUACAAAUGAAGGAGAUGAAGAAGUGCUUCAUUGCCUGGAACAGUUAGAAGAUCUCUGUGUACAAAGAGACCAGCAUCGGGAAUGGGUAAUAUUGGAGAAUUAUAUACCAGUUCUUGUUCAACUUCUUGGUGAAAAAAAUCUUGACAUAAGGAAUCGUGCUUUGGUCAUCCUCUACAUCCUAGCAAAAGAUAGUGAUGAUGCAAAGGAAAGAAUUGCAAAUGUUGACAAUGCAAUUGAAUAUAUAGUUCAAUCCCUUGGCCGUCGGAUUGGGGAAAGGAAGUCAGCAGUGGCAUUACUGUUGGAAUUAUCUAAAUGUACUCUGGUAAGGGACUAUAUUGGAAAGGUUCAAGGUGGCAUUCUCCUCUUGGUGACUAUGUCAAGCAGUGAUGACAGUCAAGCUGCCACAGAUGCCCAGGAGCUGUUGGAAAAUCUUGCAUUCUCUGAUCAGAACAUCAUACGAAUGGCAAAGGCAAAUUAUUUCAAACAUUUGCUGCAGCGCCUAUCUACAGGUGAUUUUCUUACAUGUGACAGCCUAUUUUAGCUUUGUGAUAAAAUUUAUAUUGACUAAUUACUGCUUGGCCCUUCACCUCUCUUUUUGGGUAUAAGAUGAUGCUGAAUCUUUCUGAAUUAUUUUUAACCCUAAAUAAGCAGUAAUUGCGUAGUGAAGUAACUGAAUUAAAUUAUGCUAGUUGUUAUGGUGAGAGAUGUAUGCAGUCCUCCAAAAUGCUAAAUAUCAUGAUUGAACUUUGGGUCUCUUAGAAACAUGCGAAGUCAUUAAGAUGCUCUAAAUCUCUCAGUUUAGAUACAAAUUGUUUCGGCAAUUUAACCUUGUGUUUAAACUGUUUCUACCAAUCACUUCUAAUUGUAAUUUUUAUUUGUGUUGUAUGUUAUAGAUUUAAUGAUUUAAGAGACAUGCUCAUAUUUCUAAGAGCACUAAUCAUUCCUUUUACAGGGCCAGAAGAAGUGAAAAUGAUCAUGGUGUCAACUUUGGCAGAGAUGGAUUUAACUGACCACAAUAAAGCAUCUUUAUUUGGAGAAGGUGUGUUGAGUCCACUUCUCCACUUUGUCUCAGAUGGUGAUGCAGGGAUACAGAAGGUGGCCAUCAAGGCUCUUCGGAACCUCUCAAGUUUACCAGCAAAUGGCCUGCAGAUGGUUAGAGAAGGUGCAGUGCGCCCAUUACUUGACCUUCUUUUCCGGCAUAUCUCAUCGUCUUCAGGUUUGCGUGAACAGGUGGCAGCCACAAUUAUGCAUCUGGCUGAAUCAAUAGUGUCUCAAGGAUCCAGCCCAACACCAAUAUCAUUGCUGGAAUCUGAUGAAGAUGCUUUGAGGCUUUUCUCUUUGAUAAACUUGACAGGGCCAGAUGUGCAACAAAACAUUCUCCGUAUCUUCUAUUCAUUGUGCCAGUCGCCCUCAGGGGCAAGCAUCCAGACCAAAUUGACUGAGUACUCAGCUGUACAAGUAUUGGUUCAGUUAUGUGAGCAAGAGAAUCAAAAUGUACGAGCAAAUGCUGUAAAGCUGUUCAGUUGCUUGGUAGAAGGUGGAAAUGAAGCCACCAUCCUAGAACAUGUGGAUCGGAAGUGCCUUGAGACCUUGCUGAGGAUCAUCCAAUCUUCUAAUGACUUGGAAGAGAUUGCUUCAGCAAUGGGCAUUAUCUCUAACCUUCCAGAAAAUAGCCAAGUUACUCAGUGGCUUCUGAAUGCAGGGGCACUACCAGUUAUUGUCAGAAUUCUCCCAAAUAGCAAGCAGAUUGAUCCUCAUAACAAUUGGUUAGUUGAAAAUGCUGUUGGAGCCAUAUGUCGUUUCACUGUUCCAACAAACUUAGAAUGGCAAAAGAAAGCAGCAGAAGCCGGCGUUAUUCCUAUGUUAGUGCAACUGCUUGACUUCGGAACUAGCUUGACAAAGAAAUAUUCUGCUAUUUCUCUUACUCAUUUUUCAGAGAGUUCACUGAGGUUGAGUCAGCCAAUACCAAAACACAAGGGGUUUUGGUGCUUCUCUGUUCCACCAGAAACUGGCUGCAGGAUUCAUGGGGGAGUUUGUACUGUUGAAUCAUCAUUUUGCCUUGUUGAAGCUGAUGCGAUAAGACCCCUUGUGAGGGUUCUUGAAGAUCCAGAUCCUAGAGCCUGUGAGGCUUCUUUAGAUGCACUAUUGACCCUAAUUGAUGCUGAAAGACUUCAAAGUGGUGGCAAGGUGCUUGCAGAAGCAAAUGCUAUACCAUCAAUCAUAAAAUUUCUUAGUUCUUCGACUCCCACGUUGCAGGAGAAGGCUCUAAAUGCUUUAGAAAGGAUAUUCAGACUGCCAGAAUUCAAACAAAAGUAUGGACCCUCUGCUCAGAUGCCCUUAGUUGAUUUAACGCAGAGGGGGAACAGCAGCAUGAAGUCUCUCUCUGCCAGAAUACUGGCUCACUUGAAUGUUCUUCAUGAUCAGUCUUCUUACUUCUAAAGAAAUUUAAAUUGCUUUGAUGCAUUUAAUUGGUCCCAGGGGACAAAGGAUGCUUGGUUAGCUGAAAGAUGGUCGUCAGUUUAAGAACACCACUAUUUGGAUUUACUCUUGUGCUGAGGACUUGAUUACCAGGCGCAAAUCACUUCUUGAUGGUUUAGCUGCGCGAUAAUGGUGAAACAGGUGCAUUCUACGACUUGGCAGGGGAGUGAACAUUUGUAACUCAGGACAGAACUGCAAUAGAAAAUCACGCUGCCUCUUCUGCUGGAAAAACUAAAAUUGAUGAGUCACUGGAGUAGCAUUUUCUAUCCUUUUGUUGUUGUAAAGAGAAGUAUUGCCAGAGAGAUGGAAUUGUAGAAGUGGCUCAUAUUGAAUGCCACAAAUUUUUCUGUGCAGUUGAAGAAGUCCAAUCACCUAUUCGUUUGUCAUUAGAAGGACAGGACAAAAAUGAGCCCAAGUCAUCAAAUAUUAGACUACUUAGCCACAAUCUGAUCAUUUUUUUUUCUGUUUAAUAGUAAUUCUUUGCUCAUAUGUCGACGGUGUUGCAGUUAUUUUCAUAUGAUUGAACAAAGCAUGCGAAGGAAAUAAUCAAGGAAUUCUUGAAUAUGUCACACUUUCAAUUGAGAGUCUCUGACUACAUAUUUUUUAAUGUAGCUGUUGAAUUUUUUAAUUCUCAAUACAGUAAUUGCUGAACUGUUGUCCUUAGAUGUUUGGUAAGAGGUAACAACCCAUAAUUCUGAGUGCCAUAUGCCUUCAAUCAGGGAAGGAACGACCCAAUUUGCCUGCCUGCCUGCCCCCCAGGGAACAGCACCUUGUUGGAUCGAAGUGGAUCCAGGAGGAUUACCAUAAGUUGCUCUGAGGCAUUGUUAUUGCCCAUUAUCAUUAAAAUCGUCCUAGUCGCUAUAUGAGAAUCCCUCAGGCCUCAGAUGAUACUCGCAGUAAAUCCAAGUAAGCUGAUGUUAGUUUGGGGGUCUUCUGCUAGUAGAUAUUGUUGGCACUAGAAGAGGGGUAAUGCCUCAUAUGUCUUAACCCUGAUCUGAUAUGAACCAGUUGAAGCAAAUUCACGCCUUUACCCUUCGAAAUAGCAUAGACUACACCGAAACUCUUAUAACAAAACUCCUCCAAAUUGCAAACAUCCCUUAUGCCCACAGCCUGUUCAACCUUAUUCCCAGGCCAACUGUCUCUCUCUACAACAAUCUGAUUCAAGCUUACUCCUCUCAAAACCAACCCCACCAAUGCUUUUAUCUUUACUCCCAAAUGCGUUUCAAAAAUUGCCUGCCGAAGGCGCACAGUUUUACACUUCUCUUCGUCACUUGUGCCCGCUUCUCCUACCCUUUACAUGGCCAAAUACUUCACACCCAUUUCUUGAAGUCGGGUUUUGAUUUUGAUGUCUUUGCCUUGACAGCUUUAGUUGAUAUGUAUGCUAAAUGUGGGGUGAUUGAGGAUGCCAAGCAGUUGUUUGACAAAAUGUCCAGUAAAGACCUCGUAACCUGGACAGUUAUGAUUGGUGCGUAUGCUGAAUGUGGAAAUGCCAACGAGUCGUUGGUUUUGUUUGACCAGAUGAGGGAAGAAGGUUUUGUGCCUGAUGAGAUUGCUAUGGUGGCUAUUGUGAAUGCAUGUGCUAAAUUGGGUGCUAUGAAUAAGGCUAGGCAAGUUCACGAUUAUGUAAAUAGAAGUAAGAUUUCUAAGGGUGUGAUACUGGGCACGGCGAUGAUUGAUAUGUAUGCCAAGUGUGGAAGUAUAGACCAAGCCUUCAAUGUUUUCCAAGCAAUGAGAUGUAGAGAUGUCUAUUCUUAUACGGCCAUGAUUGUUGGCUUAGCAAUGCAUGGUGAAGCAAAGAGAGCAUUGGAUAUCUUCUCCGAGAUGCUUAUAAUGGGCAUAAAGCCAGACGAAGUAACAUUUGUUGGUGUCCUUUCGGCCUGUAGUCAUGCGGGACUUGUAGAGGAAGGGCGAAGACAUUUUGAGGACAUGUUGAGGCACAACAACCUAGAACCCAAAAAAGAGCAUUAUGGUUGUAUGGUUGACCUUAUGGGUCGUGCUGGGCUAAUUAGUGAGGCACUAGAGUUCAUAAAUAACAUGCCAAUUUUACCUGAUGCUUCUGUUUGGGGAUCACUUCUUGGGGCUUGCAAGAUUCAUGCUAAGGUUGAACUUGGUGAAAGUGUAAUGGAAAAACUUGUAGAGAUGGAACCUAGUAAAGAUGGUGCAUAUAUACUGAUGUCAAAUAUAUAUUCCUCUGCAAAUAGAUGGAGAGAUGCUUUGAGGUGGAGAAAGGCAAUGAAACAAAAUAACAUGAAGAAGACUCCAGGUUGUAGUUCAAUUGAAAUUGAUGGAAUGGUUCAUGAAUUUCGCAAGGGUGAAAAGUCACAUCCCAAAAGUAAAGAACUAUGCAAGUUGCUUCAAGAGCUGACACAUCAGUUGAGAAACGUUGGAUUGGACGAGAACAUUGUGUCGUGCUGAUACAAACACAGGUACGGACACACACGAGGGACAAGGGCGCAUUAGGCUCUUUGAAAUUUUUUUUCUUUAAAUUAAGCGUAUAUUGGUAAUUUGGAACAUGUAAAUACAAAAAUCUUUUUAAAAAAAUAAUAAUUCAGAAAAUAAUUAAAAACAAUGGUUAAUUAAUCCAGUUACUAUUUUGCUGAACUCCUUUAAUUUUGAGGGUAG
rnacentral:misc_RNA from 1 species